ACACACCGGGGCUGCCCGCCGGGAACACCGGGGCUGCCGGCCGGGACACACGGGGGCUGCCCGCAAAGCCUGGCCGCUGCCGGCUGCGGAACACGCCUGGAGGAAACAGACGCGCUCAUGUCCAACAACAGUUUGCUUGUAGUUCACGUGAGCUGAGUUAGCUGACAGGCUGGAGCCAAGACAUGGGAUGUUCAACACCAUGCGUUCUUCAGGUUGUGAAUUAGACCAUCUCAGGAUGAGGGGAAAUUGAGUAAGAUGUUUUAGAAAUUUGUAGUGUGAUUUUCUGAAUACUAGACAACAUGUAAAAUUACUAUGAAUCUCGCAUUCCCUGAACUCUGUCAACUGUACAUUGCAAUCUCUGAUUUUCCUGUCACCAGUGCAGAUUUACAGUAAUAUUAACUCUGGUGUAAUGGUGUUGAUGUAAUCUUGGUGACACCCAAGAAACGCUUUUCAAGCCCAUGGAAAUAAAUAGAUGCUUCCCUAUGAAUCAUGCACAUAGAGAGAAUCUGAGGAUAACUGUGGUGACCACAAUUCCAUGACCAGCUGGUACCUCAGUGAUACCUGGGUAAACAACAAUAGUAGUUACUCAGAAACAUGAAGACGUCAGGGCUAAUACAUUUUCUUUUCUGCUCUUUUAUUUCUAGUGUUCCCAGAAUCUGAGAGAUACAGCUUUUGUAACAAUUCUUAGAGAAGUGCCACCUCUGUAAGUGUACAGGAAGUUCUUUCUAUUUAAUUGUUGAGGCCAUUUUUGCAUAAAAGAAGUGAGUUGAUGCAUAAUGUUGUGUAUCUAAAAGAUGUAUGCCAAAAUUUCUGCUUCCGAUAAUUCAGGUAUCUUGUUAGUGGUGUACCAGAUGCACAAAGUGUGCCUGGGGAACUGGGACUGUCGUUUGUUCUGCCUAGAGCAAACAAAGCAUAGAGUCUGUGAACAUGCAUCUGCAAUAGUGUUCAUGCUGCUGUUAAUAUGGCAUCGCUAGCACCACUAAAAAUAAAAGAAGGUUUGUGCAUUUGGAAGAACAUUUGUUUACUUGUGUCUUCUCAUCCCAUUUCAGUCUCUUGCUCUGGGAAUCUAACCAACCAUAGUGGAAAAAAGAGCAAAUGAGGAAGGCCUCAAGCCUCUCUUAGGGACCAAAGAUAAUUAACAGGAACAUUUAGAGGGAGAGUAGAUAUAAUGAAGCCCUGAAUAUGUGCUAGCUUCAGGCCCAUGAAAGUAUGGCUGUUUUUGUAAUAGACUAUGGAACUAAUUGCAUGUCUGAGGCAGGCACUGUGGGGUUUGACUGCAGCACUCCUCAGUGUAAUUGAAUUUGUGUAGCAUCUGUGAGCAGGGGAGGUCCGGUGCCACAAGGCCCAGAGGGUGUCCUUAGGCAGCCCAGUGAAAGUUUCUUGGUUGUUUGUCCCUCCUUCCAGGGACCACUUUGUUUUCCCCGCAGUGAACGAUGUAUGAUGGGAUUGUUGCUUAAAGCAGAAGUUCUCCCAGUAAGAACACAGAGUCCUUAUUUACCCUUUUGAGUAGAGGGGUAUUUUGGAGCAGGAGUGCACCAUUGCUUAGCUUUUUCAGCUUUUUCACUGCUCUUCGUGUCCUCCUUGUAUGCUUUUCUUCUCCCUAGCUGCAAAUGCAGGAACCUGGAGUAAAACAGUGAUGUCUGAGCCUGGGAAGAGAAACACUGGCAAUGCAAUGCAGUACAGGAUGAGUGAGAAAGCAAUAAUCUGUUUUAUAGUAUGGCUGCUCCCCUUCACUGGAGCUAAAUGGAUUCUGGUGAUCUGAAUUAACUCUGCAGUGAUGAUUUCUCCUAAGACAUCCUCUCUGGGGCUUUUCAGGGACACAGUCUCCUCAUCAAUUCAGGUUGGCUGCUCCUAUGUGAUGCAACCAGAUGCAGCAUCUCUUCUGACUCAGCCUCACCUUUGUCCAUUAAUCUAAGGUCCAGGCACUGAACUGGGAGAGGAGGAAGGAAAGAUGCUUGAACACAGGGUAGACUAAUCCAGAGACAUGGCUUCAGUCCUCCAGAACAAGGUGUUCCCAGCCCUCACACCGUGUGCUGAUACUGCGCUCUAAGGGGCCGUGAGCAUUCACAGCCCUGAAUAAAAACCCUUCUCAAAACAGAAGGCUCUUUUCAGCUGCUACUAAUUGUUGAACAGCAACAGUCUUAAGUAAAUUAUGCUUCCACAGUAUUUAUACUGAGAGAGGGCAAAUUAGAUGAAAUUAUUUCAAUAGAAUGAGGGUCACUUUGGUUUGCAAAACAAUAUUGAACACAGCAUCCAUAAUAUUGCAAGAGUGGGUUAUUGCACCAAAAGACAGCACUCACUAACCCAAAGGCAGCCUCUCAGCAACAGUCUGACGAGGAUAAGCACCAUUGCUCUGUGGCAGCAAGGACAGGAUCAGCCACAAGUACAGAUUAAAGAAGUACUCCAUUCACUUGAAGGAUCUAGGGCACUUAGGUACAGAGAUCUUCCCAUUGCCUUGCAAUAUCUUUGUAGUCAUCUUGUAGGUAUGAAUGUACAUCAAAAACCAGGCUCAGCCUCCACAGAUGUAUUCAGUAGUUCUAGCCAGUAGAGGCUGAAUAAUAUCAGUGAAUAAACCUGAGCUCUGGAGUACAACUACUGUGGUAAAAUGUUGAAAUUAUCCUAGGCACAUCUUUGGCUGAGAUUGGCUAUUGCUGUCCUGAACAAUUCCCAGACACAGUCUGAGAGCUAGAACAGACCAUUCCCAGAGCCACUGCCUAUGGGCAUGUGGCCAUUUUGUUUGGAAGAAUAGAAAACGUUAAUUGCUGGGCUUCAUUACCUCUGUAGCAGCUGGCAUGAGUGCUAGAGAAUGGUCCCAGGUACAUUUAAAGCACCAGGUAUAGAUGGUGCACGUAUGGUUUCACUGCAACUUCUCAUCAAGAGAUUCUUGCAGACCCUCGGAAAGUUCCACUCUCUGUGCUCCCUCACUAGCAGCCAAACACAGCACCUGCCUAAGUGCCAACAGGCCAUAAAAUAUGUCCAGGACUUCUCCCAAAGCAGCUUGAGGCACUCCAAAAACAGCAUUAGUGACUGCUACAGACUAGCAGUGCUUUUUUAGGUGUGACAAUAAACAUUUGUGAAAACAGAUGAAGAACGGGCUGCCCACUGAAAAGGGGAGAGGAAGAAAAGGUGCUCACAAAUCUGGAAGCCAUCAGGCCUAUUUGGGUUAGAGCUGGCACCUCCAGCAGGAAUAAUGUCACAUGAGCAUAGGAGAAUGGCACACAGCAGCCAGGCUGUGUGUCACAGGGAGCAGUGACAUGGCAAACAGGCAGCAAGGAUAUCUUGCAGAGGAGAGAGCAGAAACAGUGAAUUAUCAGCAGAGAACCAUAAAGGGAAAACUGGGAAUAUGUGGGAAAGAGCU